GCAGCACAGCCUGCCUGCUCCUCCACCGUGCCAGCCCGCCCAGCGCUGCGCUCACAGCAGAGCCAGCGGCAGUCCAGGCGCUCAUCUCCUUACCCCCUGCGCCGCACCUCCGCCCGCAAGUAACUUGGGGGCCCUUAAUUAACAGCUCCAGCGGCAGAGAACUGUCCUGCCGGCAUUGCUCAAGUAUCACCAUCUCCUCCUCCUCAGCAAUACCGGGCCUCUCUGGAGAUCAGUUCUGCAGGAGUGCGGGACUUCCUGAUUCUGCAGCUUGUUCUGGGCUUUAAUUUUGUCUUAGUGUUAAAUUUAGGAGUUUAGUGUUUAGACAGUUUAAGGCUUUAAGUUUUGUGUUAGUGUUAGACAUAGGUUACUUUAGGAUUUUAGUGUUAGGCAUUACCAUCCAACUGGAACGUGCACUCAAAAAGUGCACCAAGUGCUUCUGUGCCCAUGGAGAGGUGUUUGAGAUUGCUGAGGGUGUGGUGGGCAAUGUUGGCCCCACUCACAACUUCCAGCCCCCUCACUACGAUGGCAUUGAGUGCCUGGCCAUCCAAGGAGACAUCCUCUUCAGCGGCUCCAGGGACAACGGCAUUAAAAAGUGGGAUCUGGAAGCAGCAGGAACUUCUCCAGCAAAAUCCCAAUAGCACACAAAGAUUGGGUCUGUGCCCUGGCCUUCAUCCCUGGCCGUCCAAUGGUGCUGAGUGCGUACCGAGGAGGCGUGAUCAAAGUCUGGAACGUGGAUAACAUCAGCUCGGUUGGGGAGAUCAAGGGGCACGACAGCCCCAUCAACGCCAUCUGCACCAACUCCAAGCACAUCUUCACUGCCUCCAGCAGCCGGAGCUGCACAUCUGACCUGGCUCACCCUGAGCUUCCCUGCAGAGAUCUCUGAAUCCCAACUGCAAAGUCUGCUGACCCUCUGCUCUUCCCUGGGUACCCACUUUGCUCUGCAGUGGGGUGGGGAAGGGCUGCAGAUGGGUGAGGAUGGAGAUGGUUGUGCCAGGAGCGGAGUGCGGACGGGUUGGACCCUGAUCUGCACGACUCCCCCCACGGCUGCACGCCUGAAGGACAAUCCUACAGAGAACGAUGGUGCAUGGCUGGAGCCCUUCAGAAGGCUG